rnacentral:piRNA from 1 species
UAUUAUUAUUACGAAUGAGAACAGUUACC